rnacentral:rRNA from 1 species
UACGUAGGAGGCGAGCGUUGUCCGGAGUACUGGGCGUAAAGCGCACGCAGGCGGUUUGGUUAGUCUAUGAUGACAGUUCCCGGCUCAACUGGGGAAGUGUUGUAGAAACUGCCAGACUUGAGGGCUUCAGAGGGAUGUGGAACUCCAGGUGGAGUGGUGAAAUGCGUAGAUAUCUGGAAGAACACCAAAGGCGAAGGCAGCAUCCUGGGAAGUACCUGACGCUCGAGGUGCGAAAGCUAGGGGAGCGAACGGGA